AACGCACAUUGCGCCCUUUGGUAUUCCGAAGGGCAUGCCUGUUCGAGCGUCAUUAUCCAACCUCAAGCUUGGCUUGCUAUUGGGCUUUAUUGCAUAAUAGGCUCUAAAGAUAAUGGCGAUGUCAUGAAUGACUCCAGUGCAGCGAGCUUUUAGCAUACACUGAACAACUUCAUGUCAUCUGACCUUUAAUAUUUUCUUAAGGUUGACCUCGGAUCAGGUAGGAAUACCCGCUGAACUUAA
rnacentral:misc_RNA from 1 species